GCUGGGGUGGCGAAAUUGGCAGACGCACUGGCUUCAGGAGUCAGCGAUCGCAAGAUCAUGGGAGUUCAAAUCUCCCCCCCAGCACCA
rnacentral:tRNA from 1 species